rnacentral:lncRNA from 1 species
GGGCUCGUCGCGGGUAAAGUGGCCCAUAAAGAGAGAGAGAGGUAUCGUCCUAUCUAUCUAUCCAUCCAUCCAUUUUUUCUUUCUCUCUUCUCUCUAUCUAAUCUAACCGUGUUUGUGUGAUGUUCUUCUACCUAUUGCGCUUGGCGAGGAAGGGAAGGAAGAAGACGAGAGGCCCCAAAAUGCGAGCGGAAGAAUGGGGAACUUUUACGUGCCUGACACGUGUCGGGAUCGUGGUCCUGCGGGAUCCGACGGACAGACGCGUCUUUUAAUGUUGCCGGGAUCGAUCUCUCGCUUUGCCGCCAGGAAUUGAUAGAAUAUGCUUUCCCAAAUUUUUUGCGCAUAUUCCAAGCACAAAAGGGCAGGUUUCGACCAGCUGAGGC